rnacentral:lncRNA from 1 species
AAAAGAUAAGCUACAAUUAGUAUAAAAGAAAAUACAAGUUUUUGAUUUUAGUUAUACCGAAAUAACCCCCGAACUACUAUUACAAUUUGAUAUCUAUUAAUCAUUAGGAUAGCAUCACUUUUUAGUUUUGACUUUUGUCUUUGUUGGUUUGUAGCACAUGGGCCACCAUAUUGUUAUGCAUGAUAAUUACUAUUUCUUUCUCCACUCCUAUAUUCGAGGUAGUGCUCCCACUCCUUCCAUAUUAUGUGUUAACUAUUGACUAACCAUCCCCAUGGAUUUU